rnacentral:rRNA from 1 species
ACAACGACCGUACCGCAAACCGACACUGGUGCGCGAGAUGAGUAUUCUAAGGCGCUUGAGAGAACUCAGGAGAAGGAACUCGGCAAAUUGACACCGUAACUUCGGAAGAAGGUGUGCCCUAUUAGUGUGAAGUGAACAACGGAGCAUGAAUGGGUUGCAAAAAAUCGGUGGCUGCGACUGUUUAUUAAAAACACAGCACUCUGCAAACACGAAAGUGGACGUAUAGGGUGUGACGCCUGCCCGGUGCUGGAAGAUUAAAUGAUGGGGUGCAAGCUCUUGAUUGAAGUCCCAGUAAACGGCGGCCGUAACUAAACGGUCCUAAGGUAGCGAAAUUCCUUGUCGGGUAAGUUCCGACCUGCACGAAUGGCGUAACGAUGGCCACACUGUCUCCUCCUGAGACUCAGCGAAGUUGAAAUGUUUGUGAUGAUGCAAUCUCCCCGCGGAAAGACGGAAAGACCCCAUGAACCUUUACUGUAGCUUUGUAUUGGACUUUGAACAGAUCUGUGUAGGAUAGGUGGGAGGCUUUGAAGCAGGGUCGCUAGAUCUUGUGGAGCCAACGUUGAAAUACCACCCUGGUGUGUUUGAGGUUCUAACCUAGGUCCAUUAUCUGGAUCGGGGACAGUGCAUGGUAGGCAGUUUGACUGGGGCGGUCUCCUCCCAAAGCGUAACGGAGGAGUUCGAAGGUACGCUAGUUACGGUCGGACAUCGUGACGAUAGUGCAAUGGCAUAAGCGUGCUUAACUGCGAGACUGACAAGUCGAGCAGAUGCGAAAGCAGGACAUAGUGAUCCGGUGGUUCUGUAUGGAAGGGCCAUCGCUCAACGGAUAAAAGGUACUCUGGGGAUAACAGGCUGAUACCGCCCAAGAGUUCAUAUCGACGGCGGUGUUUGGCACCUCGAUGUCGGCUCAUCUCAUCCUGGGGCUGUAGCCGGUCCCAAGGGUAUGGCUGUUCGCCAUUUAAAGAGGUACGUGAGCUGGGUUUAAAACGUCGUGAGACAGUUUGGUCCCUAUCUUCCGUGGGCGCUGCAGAUUUGAGGAAGCCUGCUCCUAGUACGAGAGGACCGGAGUGGACACACCUCUGGUGUAUCGGUUGUCACGCCAGUGGCAUUGCCGAGUAGCUAAGUGUGGAAGAGAUAACCGCUGAAAGCAUCUAAGCGGGAAACUCGUUUCAAGAUGAGAUCUGCCGGGGCCUUGAGCCCCCUGAAGAGUCGUUCAAGACCAGGACGUUGAUAGGUCAGGUGUGGAAGCGCAGUAAUGCGUUAAGCUAACUGAUACUAAUUGCUCGUGCGGCUUGACC